rnacentral:rRNA from 1 species
GCUAUCUACAGGCUUAACACAUGCAAGUCGAGGGGCAGCAUGGUCUUAGCUUGCUAAGGCCGAUGGCGACCGGCGCACGGGUGAGUAACGCGUAUCCAACCUGCCUUACACUCUUGGACAGCCUUCUGAAAGGGAGAUUAAUACAAGAUGUUAUCAUGAGUAAGCAUUUUCGCAUGAUUAAAGGUUUACCGGUGUAAGAUGGGGAUGCGUUCCAUUAGAUAGUAGGCGGGGUAACGGCCCACCUAGUCUUCGAUGGAUAGGGGUUCUGAGAGGAAGGUCCCCCACAUUGGAACUGAGACACGGUCCAAACUCCUACGGGAGGCAGCAGUGAGGAAUAUUGGUCAAUGGACGAGAGUCUGAACCAGCCAAGUAGCGUGAAGGAUGAAGGUUCUAUGGAUUGUAAACUUCUUUUAUACGGGAAUAAACGAAUCCACGCGUGGAUUUUUGCAUGUACCGUAUGAAUAAGGAUCGGCUAACUCCGUGCCAGCAGCCGCGGUAAUACGGAGGAUCCGAGCGUUAUCCGGAUUUAUUGGGUUUAAAGGGAGCGUAGAUGGGUUGUUAAGUCAGUUGUGAAAGUUUGCGGCUCAACCGUAAAAUUGCAAUUGAUACUGGCAGUCUUGAGUACAGUUGAGGUAGGCGGAAUUCGUGGUGUAGCGGUGAAAUGCUUAGAUAUCACGAAGAACUCCGAUUGCGAAGGCAGCUUACUAACCUGUAACUGACAUUGAUGCUCGAAAGUGUGGGUAUCAAACAGGAUUAGAUACCCUGGUAGUCCACACGGUAAACGAUGAAUACUCGCUGUAGGCGAUAUACAGUCUGCGGCCAAGCGAAAGCAUUAAGUAUUCCACCUGGGGAGUACGCCGGCAACGGUGAAACUCAAAGGAAUUGACGGGGGCCCGCACAAGCGGAGGAACAUGUGGUUUAAUUCGAUGAUACGCGAGGAACCUUACCCGGGCUUAAAUUGCAACCGAAUAUGGCGGAAACGCUAUAGCUAGCAAUAGCGGUUGUGAAGGUGCUGCAUGGUUGUCGUCAGCUCGUGCCGUGAGGUGUCGGCUUAAGUGCCAUAACGAGCGCAACCCUUGCCGAUAGUUACUAACAGGUCAUGCUGAGGACUCUGUCGGGACUGCCAUCGUAAGAUGUGAGGAAGGUGGGGAUGACGUCAAAUCAGCACGGCCCUUACGUCCGGGGCUACACACGUGUUACAAUGGGGGGGUACAGAGGGCUGCUACCACGCAAGUGGAUGCCAAUCCCAAAAACCUCUCUCAGUUCGGAUUGAAGUCUGCAACCCGACUUCAUGAAGCUGGAUUCGCUAGUAAUCGCGCAUCAGCCACGGCGCGGUGAAUACGUUCCCGGGCCUUGUACACACCGCCCGUCAAGCCAUGGGAGCCGGGGGUACCUGAAGUGCGUAACCGCAAGGAGCGCCCUAGGGUAAAACUGGUGA